rnacentral:rRNA from 1 species
UGCAUGUCUAAGUAUGAACGCUCCUCAUUGUGAAACUGCGAAUGGCUCAUUAAAUCAGUUAUAGUUUAUUUGAUGGUACCUCCUACUUGGAUAACUGUGGUAAUUCUAGAGCUAAUACAUGCAGCAAGUCCCGACUUCUGGAAGGGACGUAUUUAUUAGAUACAAAACCAAUGCAGCUUCGGCUGGUCCCUUGGUGAUUCAUGAUAACUGCUCGAAUCGCAUGGCCUUGCGCCGGCGAUGGUUCAUUCAAGUUUCUGCCCUAUCAACUGUCGAUGGUAGGGUAUUGGCCUACCAUGGUUGCAACGGGUGACGGAGAAUUAGGGUUCGAUUCCGGAGAGGGAGCCUGAGAAACGGCUACCACAUCCAAGGAAGGCAGCAGGCGCGCAAAUUACCCAAUCCCGACUCGGGGAGGUAGUGACAAAAAAUACUGAUACCGGGCUCACAAAGUCCGGCAAUCGGAAUGAGAACAACUCAAACCCCUUAUCGAUGAACAAUUGGAGGGCAAGUCUGGUGCCAGCAGCCGCGGUAAUUCCAGCUCCAAUAGCGUAUAUUAAAGUUGUUGCAGUUAAAAAGCUCGUAGUUGGAUUUCGGGGCGGUCCCGUCNGUCCGUCGUGAGACUGGCACUGACGGGCCUCCCUUCCUCUCGAAGUCCCCGUCUGCUCUUCACUGCAG